CGCGUAGGCGGUUUGAUCAGUCGGAUGUGAAAGCCCCGGGCUCAACCUGGGAACUGCAUUCGAUACUGUCAAACUAGAGUGUGGUAGAGGGAAGUGGAAUUCCAGGUGUAGCGGUGAAAUGCGUAGAUAUCUGGAGGAACAUCAGUGGCGAGGGCGACUUCCUGGACCAACGCUGACGCUGAGGUGCGAAAGCGUGGGGAGCAAACA
rnacentral:rRNA from 1 species